GACGUAGGAUGCAAGCGUUGUCCGGAAUUAUUGGGCGUAAAGAGUUCGUAGGCGGUUAUCUAAGUCUGGUGUUAAAGCCCGAAGCUCAACUUCGGCAUGGCAUUGGAAACUGGCGGGCUGGAGUGCGGCAGAGGGGGGUGGAAUUCCACGUGUAGCAGUGAAAUGCGUAGAGAUGUGGAGGAACACCGAUGGCGAAGGCAGCCCCCUGGGCCGACACUGACGCCUCAGGCACGAAAGCGUGGGGAGCAAACAGG
rnacentral:rRNA from 1 species